rnacentral:rRNA from 1 species
UGUCUAUUAAUUGUAGACCAGUAUGAAAGGCUACAUGAGAGUCAGACUGUCUCUUGUAAUAAAUCUAUUAAACUGAUCUUCUAGUCCAAAAGCUAGAAUAACCAUAUAAGACCAGAAGACCCUGUGAAGCUUAAACUAAACUUCUAAAACUACUAGAAACUACUUUCAGUUGGGGCGACUAUGGAACAAAACAAAACUUCCAACAACAUGAGAAUACUCAUAACAAGGCACACAAGCCUCCACACGACCCAGUCUAACUGACUAACGAAACAAGUUACUCCAGGGAUAACAGCGCUAUCUUCUUCAAGAGCCCAUAUCAAAAAGAAGGU